UACGAAGGGGGCUAGCGUUGUUCGGAAUCACUGGGCGUAAAGCGCACGUAGGCGGAUUGUUAAGUCGGGGGGUGAAAUCCUGAGGCUCAACCUCAGAACUGCCUUCGAUACUGGGCAAUCUCGAGUCCGGAAGAGGUUGGUGGAACAGCUAGUGUAGAGGUGAAAUUCGUAGAUAUCGGGAGGAACACCAGUGGCGAAGGCGGCUUCCUGGCCUGUUCUUGACGCUGAGGCGCGAAAGCUAGGGUAGCAAACGGGG
rnacentral:rRNA from 1 species